rnacentral:rRNA from 1 species
UGCCAGCAGCCGCGGUAACACGGGGGGCGCAAGCGUUAAUCGGAAUUACUGGGCGUAAAGGGUACGUAGGCGGUUUGCUAAGUUGGAUGUGAAAGCCCUGGGCUUAACCUGGGAACUGCAUUCAAAACUGGCAGACUGGAGUUUGGCAGAGGCUAGUGGAAUUCCAGGUGUAGCGGUGAAAUGCGUAGAGAUCUGGAGGAACAUCAGUGGCGAAGGCGACUGGCUGGGCCAAAACUGACGCUGAGGUACGAAAGCGUGGGGAGCAAACAGGAUUAGAUA